CACACCAAAGCACAGGAGAGAUUUAUCUGUUCAUAGUUGGGAUAUGUGGACAAUGGGUGUUCCUAAUGAAGACCAUCUGCUUUUGUGUUUUCCCAGAAAACAUUAUUCCACGAGGAAAAUGAUACUCCCAUCCUUUUCAGCAAUACCAUUAAAAAUCAUUUGUGUGUGUAUGUACAGAAGGUGUACAUGUGUGUUUGUGUGUGUGCACUCUUCCUUUACUUGCAUUUGGUUCUCUGCAGGUCACACAAUCUACCAUAGAUACUUUUUUCCUGUAGUAUCUCUUUAUUGACCAUGCUUUUUACUUUACAAUGUUAUGUUUCUUCUUUGCUCCGUAAGUUGUUAUAUUAUUUUAAAUAUACUGCAUAUAGUUAUAACCAUGGUGCUAUUAAAAACUUGUUCCUCUAGCAAUGUUUUAUGAGAAAGAAAACAGUUAACAUAAGUGAAACCUUUGCA
rnacentral:lncRNA from 1 species